rnacentral:rRNA from 1 species
AUUCCCUCAGUAACGGCGAGUGAAGCGGGAAAAGCUCAGACUGAAAAGCUUCGGCAUUGUAGUCUGGAGAAGUCAUACCAGCUUGAAAUAAUUAGUAAAGUCCCUUGGAAUGGGGUACCAGUGAGGGUGAUAGUCCCGUGUGUACUAAUUACUUUUUGCGUACGGUUGGCUUUCUAAGAGUCGAGUUGCUUGGGAUUGCAGCUCUAAGUGGGUGGUAAAUUCCAUCUAAAGCUAAAUAUUGGUGGGAGACCGAUAGCAAACAAGUACCGUGAGGGAAAGAUGAAAAGAACUUUGAAAAGAGAGUUAAAGAGUACCUGAAAUUGCUGAAAUGGAACCGAUGGGAGGUAGUGUUAGUGCAGCACCAUUUUGUGAUUCGCUUGCGGAUAACGUUCUUUGGUGUUACACAAGUCAUGCUUGCUUGUAUACGUGAAAAAGACCCUAAGCUUGUAUAGACUAGGAUUGUCGUUGCGCGUAUGAGUGACCAUGACGAAAUGCCUCUCAUCAUCCCGUCUUGAAACACGGACCAAGGAGUCUAACAUGUUUGCAAGUGCUCGGAGUUCAUCUCCCAGCGCGGAAUUAAUGUAAAUGUGAACCUAGUUCACUAAGGUAGAAUGCCUAGGCUGCACUAUCGACCGACCAUGAUCCUACGGGAAAAAGGUUUGAGUGUGAGCAUACAUGUUGGGACCCGAAAGAUGGUGAACUAUGCUUGAGUAGGACGAAGCCAGGGGAAACUCUGGUGGAGGUCCGCCGCGAUUCUAACGUGCAAAUUGAUCGUCGAACUUGGGUAUAGGGGCGAAAGACUAAUCGAACCAUCUAGUAGCUGGUUCCUCCCGAAAUUUCCCUCAGGAUAGCUGCAACCGAACAGUUUUAUCAGGUAAAGCGAAUGAUUAGAGGCCUCAGGGAUGGAACGUUCUUGACCUAUUCUCAAACUUUAAAUGGGUAAGAGCCCGGGGUUGCUUAAUUGAACUCCGCGGUCGAAUGGCGGUUGCUAGUGGGCCAAUCUGGGUAAGCUAGAUUGGCGAUGCGGGAUGAACCGAACGUCGAGUUAAAGUGCCAAAGUAUUCGCUAACCUAGAUCCCACAAAAGGUGUUGGUUCAUUAAGACAGCAGGACGGUGGCCAUGGAAGUCGGAACCCGCUAAGGAGUGUGUAACAACUCACCUGCCGAAUGAACUAGCCCUGAAAAUGGAUGGCGCUUAAGCGGAUCACUUAUACUCGACCAACGCUGCAAGUACAAAGCAGUGCUGAGUAGGGGGGCGUGGGGCUCGUUGUGCAUUCUGUGGCGUGAGCCGGGAUGAAACGGGUUCUAGUGCAGAUCUUGGUAGCAGUAGCAAAUAUUCAAAUGAGAACUUUGAAGACUGACGUGGAGAAAGGUUCCAUGUGAACAGUAAUUGGACAUGGGUGAGUCGAUCCUAAGAGAUAGGAAAAUUCUUUUUCAAAGUGGUCCUUUUUCGGAGGGGCCCGCUUAUCGAAAGGGAAUCGGGUCAAUAUUCCCGAACCAGGACGUGGAUAAUGAGUGGUAACACAAGCGAAAUCGGGGACGUUGGCGGGAGCCCCGGGAAGAGUUCUCUUUUCUUUUUAACAAUUCGGUGGACCUUGGAAUCGGAUUGACCGGCGAUAAGGUUCAGUGAUUGGGAAAGCGGCAUACUUUUUGUGUCGUCCGGUGCGCUUUCGACGAUCCGUGAAAACCCGGUAGCGUGACUUAUUUGCACCCCUGGUCGUACUCAUAACCGCCUCAGGUCUCCAAGGUGCGCAGCCUCUAGUCAAUAGAACAAUGUAGAUAAGGGAAGUCGGCAAAAUAGAUCCGUAACCUCGGGAUAAGGAUUGGCUCUGAGGGUUGGGCCUAGGGGUCUCAGAAACAAAGGAAUGGCGGCUAGGAGGGGACUGCGGCUUCACGGCUGCGGACCUCACCAGGCUGCUCUCCGGCGGUUCUGAGAACGUCUUCGGACUUUCCCUAGUGCGUGGAACAACCGACUCAGAACUGGAGCGGACAAGGGGAAUCCGACUGUUUAAUUAAAACAAAGCAUUGCGAUGGCUGGAGACGGUGUUGACGCAAUGUGAUUUCUGCCCAGUGCUCUGAAUGUCAAAGUGAAGGAAUUCACCCAAGCGCGG